GUCUUCCUUAGAAUACUUACAAUUGAGAAAAAUAAUUUUCUUAUUCAAUAUAUAAUGCAAUGAUAUUUAAGGACACUUGUGAACGCACGAUAUUUUGGAUGAAAUGAAUAAGUAAUGAGUGAAGUAGAAAAAUCUAAGAAUAGCACGUGCCGAUAUUCUAUGCACAGGAUCAUAGAUAAGCAUCAUUUGUAACAGAUCAAGCCCAUCUGCGUCUAAUGUUUUAACUUGUGAUUCCAAAUUGUUUGUUAUCCAAUUUGGAAAUGUAGCUUUAUAAUCUGACAAUUGUGUUACGCCAGGCCAUAUCUCUUCGCAAAUAUACAACCUAUACUCCAGAUAUCAAUGGCACAUGAAUAUCUAUUAGUACCAAGAAGGAUUUCUGGAGCUCUGUACCAUAAAGUGACUACUUCAUGUGUAUAUACUCUGACUGGUAUGCCAAAGGCUCUCCCAAGACCAAAAUCUGCUACCUUAAUCAAUCCUGAUUUGUCAAUUAAUAAAUUUUGUGGCUUUAAGUCACGAUGCAAUAUUCUGCGCUUGUGACAGAAGAGAAUAGCACGUGUAAUCUAUAAAAACAAAUUAGAGACUUAUUUCAAUUUCCACAAAAGUAUUAUAUAACAUUUAUUAAUCCAUAUAAGUUCAUGACCUAUCUAUUACUUGAUUAUAUUAACAAAGUUAUUUGACUUAAUGUGGUUAAUAUCAAAUAUGACUUGUCUUAAAUCAUGAUAUAGCCUGUGUAAUGAAGAUUUUAUUUUAUAUAUUAGGAAUAUAUUGAAUACCUGAAAUAAAUAGGAUUUAACCAUU